rnacentral:rRNA from 1 species
UCAGUUAAGUACUUCAUAGUCAGUCAUAGAUUAUGUCGCCACAGUCCUACUAACCACAGCUUAGACUCAAAGGACUUGGCGGUGCUUCAUAUCCCUCUGUAGGAGCCUGUUCUAUAAUCGAUCAACCUCGAUCAACCUCAUCAACCAUUGCUACUUCCGUCUAUAUACCGUCAUAUUCAGCUUCA